AGCAGCCGCGGUAAUUCCAGCUCCAAUAGCGUAUAUUAAAGUUGUUGCAGUUAAAAAGCUCGUAGUUGAAUUUCGGGGUUAGCAGGUCGGUCGUGCCAUCGGUAUGAACUGGUCUCGCUGAUCCCUCCCUCUUGACGAACUGUGAUGCCAUUAAUUUGGUGUCGCAGGGAAUCAGGACUGUUACUUUGAAAAAAUUGAGUGUUUAAAGCAGGCUCACGCUUGAAUACAUUAGCAUGGGAUAAUGAAAUAGGACGUUUGAUCCUAUUUUGUUGGCUUCUAGGAUUGACGUAAUGAUUAAUAGGGAUAGUUGGGGGCAUUAGUAUUCAAUUGUCAGAGGUGAAAUUCUUGGAUUUAUUGAAGACUAACUACUGCGAAAGCAUUUGCCAAGGAUGUUUUCAUUAAUCAAGAACGAAAGUUAGGGGAUCGAAGACGAUCAGAUACCGUCGUAGU
rnacentral:rRNA from 1 species